GUGCCAGCUGAAUGUCCAAGACUUCUGGAACAACACUGCCUACCAGCAGAUGGUCUUCUACGACAUGUAUUACCGUUACCCGGACGACAGCACCCUGUACGCCAUCCCUGUCCGCAUCACUAACGUUGCAUACAGUGAUACAGACAACUCAGGCAGCGACCGGACCAAGUGGCAGCUGGUGCGGCGGUUCUUCCUGGUGGACCCGAUCGGUGCAAAGCUGGCAGCAGACGGAGAUCCGCAGGUGGUCCGAUAUGCCAGCAGUUUCUCCAU